rnacentral:rRNA from 1 species
GGGCCCGCACAAGCGGUGGAGCAUGUGGUUUAAUUCGAUGCAACGCGAAGAACCUUACCAAGGCUUGACAUACUACAGAUUUCUUUGAAAAAGGAAAGUGCCUUCGGGAAUGUAGAUACAGGUGGUGCAUGGCUGUCGUCAGCUCGUGUCGUGAGAUGUUGGGUUAAGUCCCGCAACGAGCGCAACCCUUAUUUUUAGUUGCUAAUUUAGUUUAGGUUUUCUAGAAAGACUGCCGGUGACAAACCGGAGGAAGGUGAGGAUGACGUCAAGUCAGCAUGCCCCUUAUGCCUUGGGCUACACACGUGCUACAAUGGUUAAGACAAAGAGUUGCGAGCUCGUGAGAGUCAGCUAAUCUCAUAAACUUAGCCUAAGUUCGGAUUGUAGGCUGCAACUCGCCUGCAUGAAGUCGGAAUCGCUAGUAA